rnacentral:lncRNA from 1 species
AGUCCUGGAAAUGAUCUUGAUGCUAUCUGUUCCUCGUUACAGCAGACCUGCUCAACUUCAGCAGCUAGAAGGAGGAUUGUCUUUCACCAGCUGCAGGAGCCUGUUCCCACUACAAGCCUGGUGGAGUCUUCGGAGCAGAUGUGACUGUCCUACUUGUAUAGAGAAGAGAAACUGAGGCUCAGAAGAGAUGCCUGGCUGAGUUUAAUAGGACUGCAACAACAAUUUUGCCUUUCUACUUUCUGGUACAGUGGUCUUUCCUUUGCCAUCAUGCCUCAGCAUAUCCAUGUUAGUAAAUUCUCCCAGUUGGGGAAAAGCUUGGCAGCAAUGAAAGUUAAUGUGAUGAAUCAUUUAGAUGGACAGAUUGGAAAAAUGUUGUUCCUUUUGCAUGUGAUGUUCUUGCCAGAAAUCAAGUAGGUGGAGUUUUUGAAGCGUGAUCAGUUAGAUAAGUAUGGUGGUUUUAAAUAAUCAAGCAUGGAGCCAUACCGGUUAUGUUUAAUUUAUAACAAAAUCAGACAAUUCAGGCAUGAUGUUGAACUCAUUGAGCUUGGCUCACUACUACAUUUCUCUCACCAAAAGCAAUGACUAUAAAGAGUUACAAAUACCAUGACCUUAUAUCAUAAAGCAUAAAUUAUUCCAGGAAGUUUUCCAUUUAAGUCAACUUCUCAAAAUCUUAGGAGAAAACUACCAAUAUUCAGUUCAAACCCCAGAGGCUUAAGGAAAAAUAUUAAUGUUGAAAUAGCAAGUAAGUGGUAGUAUCCUCGCUGUAUGCACAAUUGCAUCUGCUCGGGGGUUAGUCUUUCUUUAGCUCCUGUCUACAACUCACACCAGUCUCCAUAAAAGAAAUGAGGUCUCACUGAUACCAUCUAGCUUAAUGAGAUAAAAAUCCUGGUGAUCUCUGCAAGAAAAUAAAACUAAGAUAAACUAGUAUCUGCUACUGAUAAAUAUUUAACAGAUGUGGUCCAAAUCCCUCUGCCAGCUGGAGGAAGGAAAAAAGUUCUAUUUUACUGCUUGGAUAUAAUUAUUGGCCACAUUUCUCCAAGCAAAGACAGUGACAUUGGCUCACUCCCCAGGAGAACUUUCUUCUGAUCUUGGCACUAGGAUUUGCUUUUCUUUAACAGAUUGCAGCAAUAUACCCUUCAUUUGACCCAGUUUAUUCAUUCAAAAGAUACCUGGAGCCAAAACCAUGUAUGAGAAAUAGCAAAGGAAGAGGCAGGCACAAGCUGUGUUUAUAUACCCACCAAAGGACUACAGCAAAACACAUAUAUUCUAGUCAGCUCUGAGUGCACCUGUCUGUGUCAACAGUAGACCAGCGUGGUCUGGCAGAUGACCAUAUGACCCAGCUGAUUCACUCCGGAGUUAGAGGAACUUUUCCCAGACCCUGAAAGUCACCUUUUUAGACAACUUCGCAAACAGCCAUCCUUGUUCACGGUAUCAUGCCCCUUGUCACUGCUAAACAGACCGUUUGCAAAGAAAUUUCCUAAACAUCACCACUGAGGCUCCUUCCAGCAAUGACUCUGGUCCAUCAUUGGGAUUGCUGAGCAGCUGUUUCAUAACAUGAACAAGGAUGUUUUAACCAUGUUUCUUGACCUGGCCAUUUGGAUCCCAAGGAUGUUUUGGUCCAAGAAUAAAUUCCAGAGCUUAGGUAGGUUACAUACCACAACUAUAUUCAUUUCCUACUUCUAUUCUUUCUCUGUGCAAUCCUUUUCCUAGCACUGUAACUGAAAGUAUUUUUCUAAAACAUUAAUGUGAUCAUACUAUGUCUCUGCUGAAAAGCCAUCAAUCACUAUCUACCUAUUACUGACAAAAACAUGACAUUCUGAUCCCACCUGAUCUGCUCUUUCUCAUCAACAACUCUUCUCCUUAUGUAAUUUCUCACCUGGUGACCAACCACACCCUGCAUGUGCUAUACAUUCAUUUAUGCUUUUUCACCUGCUCAAGGCCCCCAGAAUUAUUUUCAAGUAUUAUUUUUCCCAACACAAAGCAUCAGUCGAUACCUGUAGUAAGUCUGAAGCAUCUCAGAAGCAUUUAUUGACAACCCAGUCUUCUACUCUCCUCUGCCUCCAAACACACAGCACAUACAUUUUGUCCCAAACAUUUGUAGGCCAUCAUUGUCUUUUGCCUGGCAUUUCUUUACUAAUUAAUAUAUAUUUUUAUUCAUGUGUGUAUAUUUAUCUCACCAAUAUUUGGGAGCAGAGCCUAUGUGUUAUUUUAGUUAUACAGGUUGUUGGGUGAUAUGGCUGUGAACCUGAUAUGCUAUAGAUUAUAAGGGGAGGUGGAACCUGUCACACUUCCUCUUCCUCCAUCACUGGUUGUCUGUCUCAAAGCUCACCGAAGAAGACAGGAAAACUUGUCAGAUGGGGAAGGAUGUGUCAAGAGCAUGCACACAGAUUUACUCUUCAGCUAGAAGCUCCAAUUCCUAGAUGAUCUGAAUCCAACUCAGAGUGCUUGCACCUGUUUCCUGCCACACAGCUAGAGCUGUGUCCCUCUAGGUUCUCUGAUUGGCUGAAGCUACUCUAAGCCAAGAGAUCAAAGAAGCUGAUAAUGUAGAAUGUAAGUUUGUCUCCUGGGCCACAAUGGAAAGCAGAGACUGUAGCUGGAGGAGUGAAUAGAGGAUAUGCAGCUCUGGUAAUUCUCAGUACAAUUCCCAGUGGUCCACUCUGCAGAAUGAACCAAGUUCCAUUUUGCCCAACUUCUGGCAGUCCACAUUUGGACUGUGAGCUCACCUACAGAUAAAUCGUACGUGGAUUGAUGCAGUAACUGGAUUUGUAGCUGCUAAAUCUUAUUUAAGUGAGGACCUGUCCAGUACAUGUGAAGACCACCCAUCCACUGAAAGUGAUAAGUGAAGCUGAAUCAAUACUAGACUGAAUCAAUACUGAGCUGAAUCAAUACUUUCCCAAUUUUGAGGAAAUCUUGGAAAAUCUCUGAGAAAUGUGGUAGUAAUUAUUUUGAAGAAUUGGAAAACUUUAUAGCUGAUUAUGCUAUGUGUGGAAGAUACAACAGGAUUAUAAGAGAGAGAAGACAAUAUCCUUGCUGUGUCCAGAAGGCUUUAGCCGGGGUGUCCUACUGAGAGAUGACAAACUUAAGGUUUUUCUCUUCCCAGACAUUACUGGACAACUAGCUAUGUAAUUAGGUCUUAUGCCGAAAAGACUGAAAGGAAAACAUCUCAGAUCUAGGAAUGUGAUCAAGAAAGAAGGCUGGUUAAAGAAUAACAUGGGGAAAAUGAAUGCAGUGAAAUGGUUCACGCACAAGUUCUAGGAAUUCAGAGUGCAACAGCAGAAAUGCGAUUUUUGUUAGAUAUUUCAGAAAGUGAUGUGAGUCCCUGAGGUCAUACUGCAGCGUUCAGGUUCUGUUUGGCCUCCUGCACGAAGCUUUCCUUGAUUGGAAAAGCUGCAUACUCUGAAGCACAUCGCAUGUGUCCUGUCUGUAGUUCAUUUCAUUUCCCCAGAUUUGUUAUCAUCCACCAUCACUCAUACAAGCCUACCUUCUUCAUGCCAACCUUUGUAAUCUUUCUACCUUGCUAACCUGGUCAUGUCAAGGACCAGCUAAUAAAUAGCAAAGUUGUACCUUGAGCCAAGGUAUCUUGACUCUUAGUCCAGUGCUCUUUAUAUACCUCUGAAGUCUUAUUUGAGCUUCAAAAUUAUGAGUCUGUGCUCUCAAGAUUUUUUUGAAAAUGUACUUAAUGUUGCCCCUAAGCUUUUAUGAGAAAUAAUAAAGUUCUUUCCAGAUUGAAUAUCUAAUAACUCCAUUUCAUUUUAUGCUUUCUCAUGUAUGGAUGUCUAUAACUGGAAUGCUAUUUGGGCUACUGAGAUAUUUUCUUAAUUCUCUGUUUUGUGUUAGUUCUUUUUGUUUGUUUAUUUGACAACCAUAUUUUUGCACCUGAGAUAAAUCUGGCAUUCUAUUCAACUUCAAUUUCAAAGAGAAUCUGAGAAUGUACUGGUAGAACGAUAUUUGAAUACUAAUAUCUUGGAAAUACAGAAAUAAGUAUCAUACAUUUUGUUACAUUCUGUUUGUGUACAAAUAAUAUAAAAAUCAAUGAAUGAGAAUUUCAUAUUUGAAUUGUAUAUGGAUUGAUGCAAUAACUUGAUUUAGACAAUACUUUUUAUGAAGA